CUGCUAUACUGUAUAUAAAACGUAAAGUAUAGAAAGAGCGGCCCCAGAGGCUGGAACCGUAACACACACAAGGCAAGGUGUGUGUCUGUGACGUCAGUCGCCUCCCCAAAGUCAGCGACAUACUUUCCUGGCAGGGCGACAGGGAAACAAAGGUUCUGCCAAGACUAGCUGAAGGUGGAGUGUUACAACAGCUGCAAAGCCCCAGGCUCUCUACUGUUGUCUAGAGUAGAAGUGAGUUUAUCCUGAAAUGAAAAUGCUUUGCAAACAAGUCACAAGGCACCUUCUCUUUUGAUGUCAGAGCAACAAUAUGACAAAACCAUCAGACCUGAAGAAGAAGCAGCAGUUUAUCUGAUUUUUUUGCCUUAAAAACCCCCACAACUAGUAGUGUUCAGAAAUGUUAAACAACUGGACGAUGUAGUUAAAGAGGCUGUAUUUGCAUGUAGCAAUAAUAAAGCAAUAAAUUUAGCCUAAUAAAC